GAAUUACUGGGCGUAAAGCGCACGCAGGCGGUUUGUUAAGUCAGAUGUGAAAUCCCCGCGCUUAACGUGGGAACUGCAUUUGAAACUGGCAAGCUAGAGUCUUGUAGAGGGGGGUAGAAUUCCAGGUGUAGCGGUGAAAUGCGUAGAGAUCUGGAGGAAUACCGGUGGCGAAGGCGGCCCCCUGGACAAAGACUGACGCUCAGGUGCGAAAGCGUGGGGAGCAAACAGGAUUAGAUACCCUGGUAGUCCACGCUGUAAACGAUGUCUACUUGGAGGUUGUGCCCUUGAGGCGUGGCUUCCGGAGCUAACGCGUUAAGUCGACCGCCUGGGGAGUACGGCCGCAAGGUUAAAACUCAAAUGAAUUGACGGGGGCCCGCACAAGCGGUGGAGCAUGUGGUUUAAUUCGAUGCAACGCGAAGAACCUUACCUACUCUUGACAUCCACGGAAUUCGCCAGAGAUGGCUUAGUGCCUUCGGGAACCGUGAGACAGGUGCUGCAUGGCUGUCGUCAGCUCGUGUUGUGAAAUGUUGGGUUAAGUCCCGCAACGAGCGCAACCCUUAUCCUUUGUUGCCAGCACGUAAUGGUGGGAACUCAAAGGAGACUGCCGGUGAUAAACCGGAGGAAGGUGAGGAUGACGUCAAGUCAUCAUGGCCCUUACGAGUAGGGCUACACACGUGCUACAAUGGCAUAUACAAAGAGAAGCGAACUCGCGAGAGCAAGCGGACCUCAUAAAGUAUGUCGUAGUCCGGAUUGGAGUCUGCAACUCGACUCCAUGAAGUCGGAAUCGCUAGUAAUCGUAGAUCAGAAUGCUACGGUGAAUACGUUCCCGGGCCUUGUACACACCGCCCGUCACACCAUGGGAGUGGGUUGCAAAAGAAGUAGGUAGCUUAACCUUCGGGAGGGCCCUUAC
rnacentral:rRNA from 1 species